CGGGACACGUGGUAUCCUGUCUGAAUAUGGGGGGACCAUCCUCCAAGGCUAAAUACUCCUGACUGACCGAUAGUGAACCAGUACCGUGAGGGAAAGGCGAAAAGAACCCCGGCGAGGGGAGUGAAAAAGAACCUGAAACCGUGUACGUACAAGCAGUGGGAGCCUCUUUAUGGGGUGACUGCGUACCUUUUGUAUAAUGGGUCAGCGACUUAUAUUCUGUAGCAAGGUUAACCGAAUAGGGGAGCCGAAGGGAAACCGAGUCUUAACUGGGCGUUAAGUUGCAGGGUAUAGACCCGAAACCCGGUGAUCUAGCCAUGGGCAGGUUGAAGGUUGGGUAACACUAACUGGAGGACCGAACCGACUAAUGUUGAAAAAUUAGCGGAUGACUUGUGGCUGGGGGUGAAAGGCCAAUCAAACCGGGAGAUAGCUGGUUCUCCCCGAAAGCUAUUUAGGUAGCGCCUCGUGAAUUCAUCUCCGGGGGUAGAGCACUGUUUCGGCAAGGGGGUCAUCCCGACUUACCAACCCGAUGCAAACUGCGAAUACCGGAGAAUGUUAUCACGGGAGACACACGGCGGGUGCUAACGUCCGUCGUGAAGAGGGAAACAACCCAGACCGCCAGCUAAGGUCCCAAAGUCAUGGUUAAGUGGGAAACGAUGUGGGAAGGCCCAGACAGCCAGGAUGUUGGCUUAGAAGCAGCCAUCAUUUAAAGAAAGCGUAAUAGCUCACUGGUCGAGUCGGCCUGCGCGGAAGAUGUAACGGGGCUAAACCAUGCACCGAAGCUGCGGCAGCGACGCUUAUGCGUUGUUGGGUAGGGGAGCGUUCUGUAAGCCUGCGAAGGUGUGCUGUGAGGCAUGCUGGAGGUAUCAGAAGUGCGAAUGCUGACAUAAGUAACGAUAAAGCGGGUGAAAAGCCCGCUCGCCGGAAGACCAAGGGUUCCUGUCCAACGUUAAUCGGGGCAGGGUGAGUCGACCCCUAAGGCGAGGCCGAAAGGCGUAGUCGAUGGGAAACAGGUUAAUAUUCCUGUACUUGGUGUUACUGCGAAGGGGGGACGGAGAAGGCUAUGUUGGCCGGGCGACGGUUGUCCCGGUUUAAGCGUGUAGGCUGGUUUUCCAGGCAAAUCCGGAAAAUCAAGGCUGAGGCGUGAUGACGAGGCACUACGGUGCUGAAGCAACAAAUGCCCUGCUUCCAGGAAAAGCCUCUAAGCAUCAGGUAACAUCAAAUCGUACCCCAAACCGACACAGGUGGUCAGGUAGAGAAUACCAAGGCGCUUGAGAGAACUCGGGUGAAGGAACUAGGCAAAAUGGUGCCGUAACUUCGGGAGAAGGCACGCUGAUAUGUAGGUGAAGCGACUUGCUCGUGGAGCUGAAAUCAGUCGAAGAUACCAGCUGGCUGCAACUGUUUAUUAAAAACACAGCACUGUGCAAACACGAAAGUGGACGUAUACGGUGUGACGCCUGCCCGGUGCCGGAAGGUUAAUUGAUGGGGUUAGCGGUAACGCGAAGCUCUUGAUCGAAGCCCCGGUAAACGGCGGCCGUAACUAUAACGGUCCUAAGGUAGCGAAAUUCCUUGUCGGGUAAGUUCCGACCUG
rnacentral:rRNA from 1 species